rnacentral:piRNA from 1 species
UUUCUUCUUAGCUCUACAACA